rnacentral:rRNA from 1 species
GACGAACGCUGGCGGCGUGCUUAACACAUGCAAGUCGAACGGAAAGGCCUGUCCUUCCUUGUGUUGGACGGGUACUCGAGUGGCGAACGGGUGAGUAACACGUGAGUGAUCUGCCCCCAACUUGGGUAUAAGCCUGGGAAACUGGGUCUAAUUCCCGAUAGGACUGCAGGGUGGUGCCUGUGGUGGAAAACGAUUUUCUAGUGGUUGGGGAUGAGCUCGCGGCCUAUCAGCUUGUUGGUGGGGUAAUGGCCUACCAAGGCGGCGACGGGUAGCCGGCCUGGGAGGGGGGACGGCCAGAGGGGGAGUGAGUGACGCCCCGGACUCGUAGGGGAGGCGGGAGGGGGGAAUAUGGACAAAGGGGGGGAGGCUUGAGGCGGCGACGCGGGGUGGGGGAUGACGGCCUGGGGGUUGUAAACCCCUUUCGCCGGGGAGGAAGCCGCGGGGUUGGAAGGGGGGGGAGGGUGGUGGAAGAAGAAGCCCCGGCAAACUACGGG